CAGUCGAGCGGCAGCGGAAGUAGCUUGCUACUUUGCCGGCGAGCGGCGGACGGGUGAGUAAUGUCUGGGAAACUGCCUGAUGGAGGGGGAUAACUACUGGAAACGGUAGCUAAUACCGCAUGACCUCGCAAGAGCAAAGUGGGGGACCUUCGGGCCUCACGCCAUCGGAUGUGCCCAGAUGGGAUUAGCUAGUAGGUGAGGUAAUGGCUCACCUAGGCGACGAUCCCUAGCUGGUCUGAGAGGAUGACCAGCCACACUGGAACUGAGACACGGUCCAGACUCCUACGGGAGGCAGCAGUGGGGAAUAUUGCACAAUGGGCGCAAGCCUGAUGCAGCCAUGCCGCGUGUGUGAAGAAGGCCUUCGGGUUGUAAAGCACUUUCAGCGAGGAGGAAGGCAGUCGUGUUAAUAGCACG
rnacentral:rRNA from 1 species